rnacentral:misc_RNA from 1 species
UCGCGGCUUAUCACCGGCAGUCCCCUUAGAGUGCCCAACUUAAUGAUGGUAACUAGCGACGAGGGUUGCGCUCGUUGCGGGACUUAACCCAACAUCUCACAACACGAGCUGACGACAGCCAUGCAGCACCUGUGUUGCGGUUCCCUUUCGGGCACCCCUGCAUUUCUGCAGGGUUCCGCACAUGUCAAGGGUAGGUAAGGUUUUUCGCGUUGCAUCGAAUUAAACCACAUGCUCCACCGCUUGUGCGGGCCCCCGUCAAUUCCUUUGAGUUUCAGCCUUGCGGCCGUACUCCCCAGGCGGGGUACUUACUGCGUUAGCGACGGCACCGAAGGGGUCGCUCCCCCCGACGCCUAGUACCCAUCGUUUACGGCGUGGACUAC